CAAUAGCGUAUAUUUAAGUUGUUGCAGUUAAAAAGCUCGUAGUCGGAUUUUGGCUGAGAACGAUCGGUCCGCCGUUAGGUGUGCACUGAUUGGUCUCAGCUUCCUGGUGAGGAGGUGUGCUUCACGGCCACUUAGUCACCGUGGUUACUUUGAAAAAAUUAGAGUGUUCAAAGCGGGCUUACGCUUGAAUAUAUUAGCAUGGAAUAACACCAUAGGACUCCUGUCCUAUUUCGUUGGUCUCGGGACGGGAGUAAUGAUUAAGAGGAACAGUUGGGGGCAUUCGUAUUUCAUUGUCAGAGGUGAAAUUCUUGGAUUUAUGAAGACGAACUUCUGCGAAAGCAUUUGCCAAGGAUGUUUUCAUUGA
rnacentral:rRNA from 1 species